GGCUGCCUACGGGGCGCAGCAGUGGGGAAUAUUGCGCAAUGGGGGCAACCCUGACGCAGCAACGCCGCGUGAUUGAAGAAGGCGUUCGGGUUGUAAAGAUCUUUAAUCAGGGACGAAAAAUGACGGUACCUGAAGAAUAAGCUCCGGCUAACUACGUGCCAGCAGCCGCGGUAAUACGUAGGGAGCAAGCGUUAUCCGGAUUUACUGGGUGUAAAGGGCGUGUAGGCGGGCUUGUAAGUCAGAAGGGAAAUCUGGGGGCUUAACCCCCAAACUGCUUUUGAAACUGCGGGUCUUGAGUGAUGGAG
rnacentral:rRNA from 1 species